UCUCUGCUAGUAUAUCGGUGAGUACACGCGCCUGUCAUCUUCAUGUCCGCGCGAAAGCUGGGUUCGACUCCCAGGCAGAGAG
rnacentral:tRNA from 1 species